UCAGUGGGAACAUGGCUCUCAUAACAUUAUUUUCUUACUUCUAACUUCCAGAUGAUGAAUGUUUAUAGUUUUAAAUCAUCAAUUUUGUGAGUACUUUGUUAUCACCGCCCUCAAAAAACAAUACAAUGGGGAAUAGGAUUGAUGCAGUAUACUGCAGUAUCUCCAAAUACAUAAAAGCAGAGGUUGCCAGGAAGACAGCACAUUGGAUGCUGUGUUGUCCUUCAGUUAUCCCGAUCAUGGAAAGCUGUUAAAGAGAUCAUGAAGUUUGAGUGGCCCUGGUAAGAGAAGGCAAGACCCUCACAAACUCUUCUGUCUGAAGCUUUUAUUUCCCUGACCAAUUAAUUAUGGGUGUUAUCUUAACCAAUCAUGUACAAAGCUAUGAAUGUAUUUUAGCCUACUUUGAGUGUUUUUUUUUUAUUCUUUGAUAUGGUUUGAAUAUUUGCAUUCAGUCCAAGACAUGCUGGUACUUGGUCCCAAUGCAACAGUAUAAAGAGGUAGGCCUUUUGGGGGACUCUUGAGGGUUCCCAACACUAGUAUUUUUAUAGAAGCUCUGAAGGAAACUAGCUAGGUUCUGUUUACCUUUCCAUUUCUUUAGCCAUGUGAGGACCUCUCUCCUUUGAAGCACCCUUCUCCUCUGGAAGAUGUAGCAACAAGGCACCAUUUCUGGGAGCAGAAAGUCUGGGCCCUCAGUGACACUGAACCUGCUUGCACGUAGAUGUUGACUGUUAGCCUCUGGAACUACAAGAAAUAAAUUUCUGCUGUUUAUAAAUUAUCUUGUCUCAGCUAUUUUAUUAUAUCAGUAUGUAAACUAAUAAGCAGAAAAACCUAAAAUUCCUGUCCUA
rnacentral:lncRNA from 1 species